GCACAGAGCCCGACGCGGGGCUCAAACUCACAAACGGACUGGAGGAAAGCUGUAAUCUGCUGUGGCCGGCCGGGGUUAGCCGCUGAUACCCCAGUGCCCUCACGCCUGUGGUCUUAAGGGAAAGAAACCCAGCUCCAACUGGCUGAAGAAGGACAAAGACCUGACCGGGGAAAAUCCAGCCUGGCUGGCUCGGGGCCCGGUGGGCGGACAAAAUAUCGAGCUCAUCCACCUUGUGCUCCGUUUGCUUUCUUCUCCUCAGUAAUUACCACGAGAUGUGUGUCCUUUGGGGCACUGCACAACUUCCCAGACCUCGGAGUCAGGUUGGAGACCCUCUUACCUACAUUUCCUCUUCCACACUGAUUUUUAUGCAGUACUUGCUUUUUAUUAUGGCAACUCCCAUAAAGCCAGCUUUGCAAAGAUAUGAUGUUAUUGGAGAGAAUGUAGGGCCAUUACAGCCUUGAACGACCUUGAGCUAGUAAUUCACAUGGUGUUUGACAGAUAUCGAGAAUCACUAUAUUUCCCUUGAAGUUUUAUAAUCCCCCAAAGCCCCUGUGAGUUCAGCGUGGCUCUCUGGGGUGCCCUGGUACACAAUCCGAGAAGCUCAGGUUAAUUUAACAAGGAAGUCAGAAGCAGUUGGUCUUGGGGUUAGUCUGGUGGCUUGGUGAUAUCAUCAAAGAUCCACCCUUCUGGCAAGUUGGACCUCUUGGUCUCAAGACAGCUGCCAUGGCACCAACAUCACAUUCUUGCCCCACAGUGCAGCUAUCAAAGUGAGAAAGGAAGGAAGAGCAGUGUGACAGGAUGACAUAGAACUGCUUUUAUACUCCAUCUGGACCUGGUGGUGGAUGGCAGACAGGUGUCUACAGCUGCAGAGACAUCUUGAACUAAACAAGGAUCUAAAGCGAGAUAAAAAUCAGAGGCCUCCGUCAUGUCAACCAGACCUGGGAUUGGAAGACUGAGAAGUUCGCCAAGCUAAGCAAGUUCUCAAGGAGACACUAUCUCACUAGCCCACCGGUUAUCCUAGUCGUUUGCGGGGGGACCAGUGUGUUGCUUAUGGAGACAGCAGUCCGCACGAGAAAUCUUGAGUUGUGGAAAUAUGUUGUGCCUGAAUGACAUUCGGGUUUUCUUUGGAGAGCCACUGUUUUUGGAGCUACCAAGACAGUCCCUGGAUCUAGCGAGGGAGGCUGUGUCUGGAGAGGUGACAUCUAGUUGACCAGGGGUCACGGGAGAGACACCCGAUCUGAGAUUUAAACGUGCAGUGCAGGUUGGCCCAGGGGGCAAAACAGGACUUCAAACAGAGGGAACAGCGCUGGCAGGGAGGGGAGUGGGCACAUGGCUCAUCGGACUGUUUAGGGUUUGUGUGACCAGAGGUGAGUCAGGGUAGGACUCACAGCCUGUGUGGCCGGCUCUGGGAGUUUGGUUUUGCCCUGAAAGCCAUAGGAAGGGCUGAAAGGUUUUCACGCAGGGAAGGAUGUGAUGAGGUUGAUAGUCUGGGGAACAACAGCAUCUAUCAUGUGGCAGAAAUUUCUGGUGCUCACAAAAAGCCUUUCUUUUUCCUCCUGGGCACGUGGUUAGACUACAUUUCCCAGACUCCUUUGUGGUCAUGUGAAGCCAUAUGACGGACUUCUGGUCAACCAAACAUGGAGGAGAGGGGUAUUUGCCAUUUUAGGCCUAGCCCGUAAAAACGUCCCCCACGUCCUCUCUCCCCCAUCUGCUGGCUGGUGCAGAAGAUCUGGGGACCUAGAUCGUGGGUCUCCAAGAUGGAAAUGGCUUGGAUCCCUGAGUCACCGUGUCAUAAAGGGCCUGCUAUUGUGUCAACAGUGAAUCGAUUUUUAUUAUGUUAACCCAUCUAAAUGUUGGGUUCUUUUUUACAAGGGUUAGCCUACUCUGACGAAAGCCACAGCAAUAGGUGCUCUUGAUGGGGCCUGCUCUGAAUCUGCCACUGUCUCAUUUAAUCCACACGACAGCCUUAUGGGGAUGGGGGACGCCGUCUUCCCACUUCUCCAAAAGGAAACGCUGGGGCUGAGGGAGAAGCCAGCAGGCGAUGGUGAAGAAGCCCGAUCCCCACCUGCACCCAAGUGCUGAACCGUGCCCUGCUGGCUCCCAGUACAAGAGGAACAGAUUAAAAUUGGGUGAGGCAAGGGGACCAGAUGAGGAGCUAUAGUGACCCCAGCUGGGAGUUCCUGCCUGUGACGCGGGGAAGGUAUCAGAUGAUUGUAAAUGUUAACCGAGAGAAUGCACGUGACGUGUCCAGUGCAGGGCCUAGAACCUGGCAGGUGUAUCCUGAACGUUUGAUUUUUUUUUUUUUUUUCAAGACACUAAGCAAGAACUCGCGGACGCCUGGGUGAAACCAGGAGAGACAUGUUCUGGAAGCAGCUCUUGGCAGGACUUGGGCAAAGCAUGAAGGAGAUGGGGAAGCACAAGGUUGGACAACUGCCUUGUGUUGCCAUUUGCAGGGACACGGGAGGAAAGGUAUGAGACAUCUUGUACAGCGUGAGGUGGGUACAGAGGAGGGAGAGCACAGGGCUCAAGAUAAUCAACCCUAAACCUUGCGAGAUGUGCAGAUAUUCAAAAGAGGGGCUGCAUUCCUGAGCCUCCAGCUGAAAAGAGCUUUUAGCAAACUAUCAGACCCUGGAUGGAUUCGCUCUGUCCUGGAGUGGAUACUUUUUAUCUACACAACCUUGGGCAAGUUCCGCAACUCUUUGUGCCUUGGUUUAUCUUUGUGCCCUGAAGAUAGGGAUAAGAGAUCAGGGGGUUGUUGUGAAUAUAUGCAGUGUGCUCAGCACAGUGUUAGAUAUGCAGUAGGAGUAGUAAAUGGGAGGCGUUUUCACUACAUUCUCUUCUCCCUGACGUUAUUUCUCUAUGGAUCUCUAUCUGCACAGAAAAAUACUCAGGUAACAGAUAUGAGCACUGAAAGAAUCUUUGCCCAUCUUAUUCACUGCUACGUUUCCAAUUAGCUCUUAGAACUAGUUCAUGGCAGGUACUUAAAUAUUUGUUGAAUGGAUGAAUGAAGGAAUGCAUCUCUCUCCUCUUUUUUUCUUCCUCCAUCCCUCCCUUCCUUUCUUCCCUCCCUCCUUUCUUCCUUCCCUCUUUCCAUCCAUCCAUCCAUCCAUCCAUCCAUCCACCCGUCCAUCCACCAUCCACCCAUCAUCCAUCCAUCCAUCUUAAAAAGAUACCAGACUGUAGUGGCUUAACCCACAAGUUCUUUUUCCAAUUGUGGUAAAAUACACAUAACAUAAAAUCUACCAUUUUUAACCACUUUUAAGUGUAUAGUUCAGUGGCAUUAAUUACAUUAACACUGUUGUGUAACCAUCCAUCUCUACGACGUUUUCAUCUUCCCAAACUGAAACUCUGUAGCCAUUGAACAGCAACUCCCCAUUCCCCUCUGCCCCCCGCUCCCAGCCCCUGGCAACCACCGUCUCCUUUCUGUCUCUAGGACUCUGACUACUCCAGAGACCUCCUAUAAGUGGAAUCAUGCAGCAUUUGUCCGUUGUGACUCAACCCACACGUUUUGCAAUCACAAAACCUAUGUGACCCUGGGAAACGUAACUUUCCUGAAUCUCCAACUCCCCUUGUGGAAAAGUAGGAGUACCUACGGUCGCGGUUGCGGGCUUACUGUUGAAGUGAGAUAAUGCAUAUAAAUAAGGUUCUUAGCCCGGUGCCUGGCAAGUAGAAGGCUUGUAGAAAUUGCUCAAUAAAUACUUGUUACACGUAAAUAUCUGUUCUUCAUUAGUAGACACCGGUGUUGUGCUGAUCGUGUGUCUGCCAGUGUCAUAAGCUCUUUGUCGUAUGAACUCAUUCAAACCACAAACGCCCCUAUGUCGUCGGUUCUAUCGCUAUCGUUCACGCUUCACAGGGGAGAAUACUGCGGCGCAGAGGGGACAGCAACACAGGGCUCCGGAGCCAGUUCACGGCAGAAACGGACUUGGGAUCCAGGCAGCCUGUUUCCGAGGCCCGCAGGCUUUCCCGCGACGCACGUUGUUACCGUGGCUGCCGCUGGCUGUCGGGGAGCCUCCGCAGCCCUUUAAAAGGAGCAGAGCCCGAAGUAGAAUGAGCAGCCCCGGUCUGAGAUAAGAGCCCGACAGCAGGUGCACUCUCCCAGCCAGCUCAGGCAAGAGCAGGUGCGCGGGUCACUCGGGCCCUGAUGUCUGCGGAGGGGGCUGUGUCUGCGCGUGACGCGGAGUUUGUCGGUGGCAAGGGGAAGCAGCCAAGCAUGGGAGGCAGGUGUCGUGAAUCCUGGUAUGAGCGGUUCCUGCAGCCCUGUCUGGUCGAACUGCUGGGCUCUGCCCUCUUCAUCUUCAUCGGGUGCCUGUCGGUCAUUGAGAACGGGCCGGACACUGGGCUGCUGCAGCCGGCCUUGGCCCACGGGCUGGCCCUGGGCCUCAUCAUCGCCACACUGGGGAAUAUCAGUGGUGGGCACUUCAACCCUGCGGUGUCCUUGGCGGCCAUGCUGAUCGGAGGCCUCAACCUGGUGAUGCUCCUUCCCUACUGGAUCUCCCAGCUGUGUGGGGGGCUGAUCGGGGCCGCCUUGGCCAAGGCAGUGAGUCCUGAAGACAGGUUCUGGAACGCGUCUGGGGCGGCCUUUGUGACGGUCCAGGAGCCGGAGCAGGUGCGGGGGGCGGUGGUGGUGGAGCUGAUCCUGACGGCCCUGCUGGCACUGGCUGUUUGCAUGGGCGCCAUCAACGAGAAGACGCAGGGCCCUCUGGCUCCAUUCUCCAUUGGCUUUGCCGUCACCGUGGACAUCCUGGCCGGGGGUGCUGUGUCCGGAGCCUGCAUGAAUCCUGCCCGUGCCUUUGGACCUGCUGUGGUGGCCAAUCACUGGGACUUCCACUGGAUCUACUGGCUGGGCCCGCUCCUGGGGAGCCUCCUCGUAGGAGUGCUUAUCAGGAUCAGAGCUUUCCCUGGUACCGAGACCCAGAAAAAAACCUUUUCCUAUGGAUCUUCAUAAAGGCAAUGUAAUGUGAUAUAAAAGACACAUCACUACUCAUUUUGACUUUCAUGCUCCAGUUGGAAAAAGACAGAAUGCAAGAUGUCUUGGCCUAAGACGGUGGGUGGGACCUUCUAUUUCCUCAGAACAGAGACAGAGUUCAGGAAGUCAGUUUAACCCAUGUCCAAACAGCCCAUUUACCAUCAGGAAUACGGGUAGGGGAACCCCGGUUCCACCUCUGCGCGACCCCAGACGUACGAGACUUCCACAGGACCCGCGUGUUCCGCUCGAGAUGGAAUGAAUCCUGCACCCUUCCCGCCAUCGGGCACGUCUGAGAGGCGCAGGUACAAUUUGGGGCAAUUCGGAAAAACUCUUUUGCAGGUGAAAGUGAUUUUCUCACAGUCGAGUCACGACCUUCGGCAAGUGACACGAAGGUAACCGGCACUAAUGACCUUUUGCCGCGACACUUCCUCUGUCAGACUGCAGGUUCCUGGAGCACGGGCACCGUGUCUUCUUCCACUUCCGCAUCCCCUCACUGUGCCUGGGAGACGGCCUUACACAUAGCAGUACUUAAUAAAUACGUAUGAAUAAAUCAUCUACUUUCCUGAAUCAUGCUUCAAUAUAGUUAUCAGUCCUGUGUACACAUCGCUAAGUGGUGAUUCCUAUCAAUGUGCAUCUUCUCUAGCACUGGGAUUCCAGAGCAUCUACGCACUAUCAGCACACGCCCACGGGCACGCACGCGUCUUACUGUGCUAGGCACACUACCGACAAGACACUGCACUCACCGUUAAAAGUCUAUAACUCGGACCACACGCAGGAAGUCAACCUACUGAGGUGUGAACAAUCGUAACAUCUCCAACCAAUGUAAAUCAGAAACAUCUAUCAAUGCGUACCUGAGUCACCUGCCUUCCGGCAGGCCACACCCUAUUCUGGCACCACGAACUCGACGUCUUUCUACACCGCCCACCCUCCUUGGUAUUCUGCUGAACAGGCUUGGAAAGAUUCAAACGUCCUCAAAGGAAAAACAUGAUCUCCAGAUGUCUCCAAGUAAGAGGACACCUGACACGGGAGAGGAGGCACGCAUCCUGUUCAAUCUGGAGAGGGCCCGGUAGUUCAGGAGAGUCAGAUAAGAGCACCCGGAACAACUAAGAGGUAAGUGUGGGACUUACGAGAAACGGUAAAAGGAACCGGAUAAUUACGUAGCGGCUGGGGAAACCGCAGCCGGGGGCAGAGGGGUUCCGUCUUCAGGUGCAGAAAGGGUCAGCCUGGUGGGUGGUGGGUUGCUUCUCAUCUCCACGGAGGGUGAGGGGACAGUAACAUGGUUUCAGUGGCAGAACCUCCACCCUCGCUCUGUGGGUCAACCGGCCACCAAAAGGGCACAAUUGCAACAGACUUCUGAAGGGGGUUCAAUCUCCUUAACGACUGCCUUCAAAACCAAGAUGCAUGCGAUGUCAUCCUGAUCAGACUCCUGAAAGUUCUACCCCUAAAAGAAAUCUGGGAUCAAGUUGCAUCCAGGAUCCCACGCGGUGGACAACGGGAAACCUUCGGCAGGUCGGGUCUGCUCGAAAACAACUUUCACAGCGCGGAGGGACCUUGAAUGUUGCUGGACUCGGCAGUCCCGCAGCAGAGGCCUUGACAUGCCGAAGGGGCCGCCGUUCUGAACCCUGACAGAUGUCCUCCCCACUUGGCCAAGGGAGACGUUGAGACGCACAGAAGGAGAGGAACGGAUAGGUCAAGUCAGAGGCAGAGGUGAGGACGCGAGGCAGGCCCUUGGUUGGUUUAUGUAUAUUGUCAAGCUGGCCUCGGGAAUCACCCUCCCGAGCUAAGAGAAGAUCGCUUCCGAGGAUGAGAUCGGGUGAAACGACUAAAGGGGCACGUUAGGAGGAGGAGACGUCAACGUCAAAACGUUUUCCUGAAGUCAUCAGUCUUUCCCUUCGGCGGGCUCUCCAGGGCACAGGCGGGCGGUGGGUGUGGCAGAAGCUUCUCUCUGGAAUGAACCUCCCGGUGCUUGGCGAGGACAGAGCUCUUACUGAAACGUUUGCCACACUGGGCACAGCCGUAGGGCUUCUCUCCGGUGUGUAUCCUC